CCUUGUUUUUCCCAAACAUACUUAAAAGUGACCGUUUGAAGUAUUUUUCCACAAGGCUCUGUCAUUCUCAGCCAGCAAUUGUCAAGCCUAUUAGGAAGGGGAACCUAGAAGGCCAAAAAAUUCUCUGCCUUUUUUUUCCUGCUUGCUGCCUGUGAUGUUUGAUCGAAGGCAGCAAUAGAGCUCUGUAUCCCAGAGCCACAUUAUGGAGCCUGACCAAUGGGUUUGGAUUCUUGCAGCCACCCCAGGCACUUCAGCAUCCAGUGCUCCACCUGGCACUGCUGGUGCAGCAUUAACAGCCUCCAGCUCAGCCCGUAACACACCUGAGGAAGAGCAGUCACCAGCAGUGGAUCUUGCCUUUGCUGUGGAGCAAAUGAUCCGGGAGAUCAGGAGAUCCCUAUCUGAAAGGUCUCCCUCUGCCCAGGGCAAUAUUAAUGCUGUGCCUGAGUCUUCAGGAGGUGAGCCUGUGGACAGAGCUGCAGCAGAGGAAGCCUCAUCUGGCACGGAGAGCUGCAGGAACAGUUCCCCAGAGCCCGAGGAGCCUGAUCACAUGUGACCGACCUCUCCAGGAGGGCUGGCCUGUGUGGCAGGAAGAGACAGAGGGAGAGCCUGGAACAUCGGGCAAGUUGAAUUCCUCUGUCUCUAGUUAUAUUUAUAGAUGUAUAUAGUUAUGUUUAUUUAUCUAGGUAGUUGUAUUUAUAGAUUUAUGUGAUUAUAUUUAUCUAUAUAGAUAGAGAUCUGUACAGUUAAUUUAUUUUUGGUUUUACUGGUAUAUCGUUAUAGCUUUAGAUAUGUUGUUGUAGUUAUAGAUGUGCACAGUUGCACUUAUACCUGUGUAUAGUUACAUUUACAUAUAUACAUUUGUAAAUGCCUAUUUAUAUUUGUAUAUGGGGGUUUAGCUACGUAGAUUGAUAUUUAUAUACACCUUUUUUUAACCUCUUGCCCUGUUCUGCUUCCUCGCUCACCUCUUGCUUUCCCCCUGUGCCCCCUGUGUCCCCUCUCCCUGGGCUGGG